rnacentral:lncRNA from 1 species
ACCAUCACAGUGAUUUAUAAGCAACUCACUGUACUUUAGUAUCCAACUAUUUGAGUUUCUAUCUUAGUGAUGGAAGAAUACUGGGUGCAGUCAUGUACUUAUCAAGUUGGUAUAUGAGUCAAGAUGGAAUUGACCCCUCUGAAUUGGUAAGAGAUAUGCAUCAGUGUAUUUUAAUUUAGCAAAACUUUGGCCAGGAUAAUCUAUGAGAUGGAUUUAAAAGGUUGAAAUAUAAUAUGGUUAACUUAAUUAGGGUUGAUAGUUAAACCCUACGUC